AUGCUCACUUCAGCAGCACCUCUACUAAAACUAGAAUGAUACAGAGAACAUUAGCAUGACCCCUGCCCAAGGAUGACACACAACAUCCUAAAAACAAUUCAUAGAAAA